rnacentral:rRNA from 1 species
UACGUAGGGUGCGAGCGUUGUCCGGAAUUAUUGGGCGUAAAGGGCUCGUAGGCGGUUUGUCGCGUCGGGAGUGAAAUCAUCUGGCUUAACUGGGUGCUUGCUUUCGAUACGGGCAGACUAGAGGUAUGCAGGGGAGAACGGAAUUCCUGGUGUAGCGGUGAAAUGCGCAGAUAUCAGGAGGAACACCGGUGGCGAAGGCGGAUCUCUGGGCCUGUCCUGACGCUCAGGCGCGAAAGCUAGGGGAGCAAACAGG